rnacentral:lncRNA from 1 species
GUAACCCACCCGGUGUGGCCGUGCCCCCCAGGGGGUGACGGUGCUGCAGGUGUUGUGGGGUGACCCCAUGGGUGACACUGUGGGUGGGGGGUGACCACAUGGGUGACCCCAUGGGUGUGGGGUGACGCUGUGGGUGACCCCUGGUGCGGCCGUGCCCCCCAGGUGGUGACGGGGCUGCAGUGGGUGUGGGGUGACGCCGUGGGUGACACUGUGGGUGGGGGGUGACCACAUGGGUGACCCCGUGGGUGUGGGGUGACCCCAUGGGUGACCCCCGGUGCCACCGUGCCCCCCAGGUGGUGAUGGGGCUGCAGUGGGUGUGGGGUGGUGUCCUGGGUGACCCUGUGGGUGUGGGGUGACCCUGUGGGUGUGGGGUGACCCCGUGGGUGGGGGGUGACCCCAUGGGUGACCCCGUGGGUGACCCCCGGGUGCUGCCGUGCCCCCCAGGUGGUGAUGGGGCUGCAGUGGGUGUGGGGUGGUGUCUUGGGUGACCCUGUGGGUGUGGGGUGACCCUGUGGGUGUGGGGUGACCCCGUGGGUGGGGGGUGACCCCGUGGGUGACCCCGUGGGUGACCCCCCCGGUGUGGCCGUGCCCCCCAGGUGGUGACGGGGCUGCAGUGGGCGCGCGCCGAGGGCAGCGGGGGGGUGCCGGUGUGGGUGGUGGUCCUGGCCGUGCUGCUGGGGCUGCUGCUGCUCGCCCUGCUCUGCUACGGCCUCUACAAGUUGGGCUUCUUCAAGCGCGCGGGGCCCUACGGCACGGCCAUGGAGAAGGCGCAGCUCAAGCCCCAGGCGGCCUCGGAGGCCUGAGGGGGCCCGCACCCCCGGGCACCCCCCGGGACGGGCACCCCCCGCACCGGGCACCCCCGCACCGGGCACCGCCGACACGCUGGGCACCCUCGGACGGGGGGGAGACAGACCCGGCCACCCCCGGGAUGGGCAUCGUCACCAGGAGGAGCAUCGUCACCGGGCUGGGGGCCACCGGGCCCGGCGUCACCACCCGACUGGGGACCACCCAACUGGGUGUCACCCAGUCUGGAAUCACCACCCCACGGGGUACCACCAUGCCCAGCAUCACCACCCAACUGGGUACCACAGGAUGGGCAUCACCACCGAGCUGGGUGUUACCCAGUCUGGAAUCACCACCCAACUGGAUACCACCAUGCCCAGCAUCACCAUCGGACUGGGUACCACUGGGAUGGGCAUCACCACCAAACUGGGUGUCACCGUGCCCGUCACCACCACCGGACUGGGUACCACCAUGCCCAGCAUCACCACCAGCCUCAGUACCACCAUACCCAGCAUCACCACCGGACUGGGUACCACUGGGAUGGGCAUCACCACCGGACUGGGUGUCACCCAGUCUGGAAUCACCACUGGACUGGGUACCCAGCAUCACCACCAAACUGGGUGUCACCCAGUCUGGAAUCACCACCAGACUGGUACCAUCAAGCCCAGCAUCACCACCGGAUUGGGUACCACCAGACUGGGGACAAUCGGGAUGGAUGUCACCACCAAACUGGGUGUCACCCGGUCUGGAAUUGCCACCGGACUGGGUACCAUCAUGCCCAGCAUCACCACCAGACUGGGGACCGCUGGGAUGGGCAUCACCACCAAACUGGUUGUCACCCAGUCUGGAAUCACCACCAGACUUGGGUACCCAGCAUCACCACCGGACUGGAUACCAUCAUGCCCAGCAUCACCACCGGACCCGGUACCACCGGGAUGGGCAUCACCACCGGACUGGGUGUCACCGGGGAGGCCACCACCAUCGGACUGGGUACCACUGGGAUGAGCAUCCCCACCGGACUGGGUGCCACCGGGACGGGCAUCACCGGCACAGGGGGGGUGUUGCCGAGCCAGACACCGCCGUGCCACGCGGCUACAGCCGGGGCACAACAAAGGGAGAGGGCACACGCAUGUGCCAGGAACGAGGCAGAGCACACGUGUGUGCCAGGCAUGAGGGGGAGCACACACGUGUGCCAGGCUGGGAAUGGAGAGAGCACACACGUGUGCCAGGCUGGGAAGGGAGAGGGCAUUGGGUACCACCAGACUGGGGACAAUCGGGAUGGAUGUCACCACCAAACUGGGUGUCACCCGGUCUGGAAUUGCCACCGGACUGGGUACCAUCAUGCCCAGCAUCACCACCAGACUGGGGACCGCUGGGAUGGGCAUCACCACCAAACUGGUUGUCACCCAGUCUGGAAUCACCACCAGACUUGGGACACACGCGUGUGCCAUGCUGGGCACAGAGGGGAGCACACACAUGUGUGCCAGGCUGGGAAGGGAGACGGCACACGCAUGUGCCAGGCACGAGAGGGAGCACACGUGUGCACCAAGCUGGGCAUGGGAGGGACACACGCGUGUGCCAUGCUGGGCACAGAGGGGAGCACACACAUGUGCCAGUCGGGUAUGGAUGGGGAGCACACACGUGUGCCAGGCACGAGGGGGAGCACACAGGUGUGCCAGGCUGGGUAUGAGGGGAGCACACACGUGUGCCAGGCAUGAUGGGGAGCACACGUGUGUGCCAAGCUGGGAAUGGAGAGAGAACAUGUGUGUGCCAGGCUGGGUAUGAGGAGAGCACAUGCGUGUGCCAGUCACAUAUGGAUGGGGAGCACACAUGCGUGCCAGGCAUGAGGGGGAGCACACAGGUGUGCCAGGCUGGGCAUGGGAGGGAGCACACAUGUGUGCCAGGCUGGGAAUGGAGAGAGCACACGCAUGUGCCAGGCUGAACAUGUGGGUACCCAGCAUCACCACCGGACUGGAUACCAUCAUGCCCAGCAUCACCACCGGACCCGGUACCACCGGGAUGGGCAUCACCACCGGACUGGGUGUCACCGGGGAGGCCACCACCAUCGGACUGGGUACCACUGGGAUGAGCAUCCCCACCGGACUGGGUGCCACCGGGACGGGCAUCACCGGCACAGGGGGGGUGUUGCCGAGCCAGACACCGCCGUGCCACGCGGCUACAGCCGGGGCACAACCCCUGCGCCGGGCACAACCGCCGUGAGCUGGCACAACCGCACGCUGGGCACCACCACAACCACCACACCAGGACACUGUCACCGUGCUGGUGUCACCCGCCGUGUGACUGCCACCACCGCCCCCCCCGGGCACCACCAGGGGGAGGGACAACACCCCGCCGGGUGUCACCGUGUCGUCACCGUCACCGCGCCGGGCACCGGUGCCAGCCCUGUCCCCC